rnacentral:rRNA from 1 species
GACGAACGCUGGCGGCGUGCUUAACACAUGCAAGUCGAACGGAAAGGCCCUGCUCUUGUGGGGUGCUCGAGUGGCGAACGGGUGAGUAACACGUGAGUAACCUGCCCUUGACUUUGGGAUAACUUCGGGAAACUGGGGCUAAUACCGGAUAGGAGCUCCUGCUGCAUGGUGGGGGUUGGAAAGUUUCGGCGGUUGGGGAUGGACUCGCGGCUUAUCAGCUUGUUGGUGAGGUAGUGGCUUACCAAGGCUUUGACGGGUAGCCGGCCUGAGAGGGUGACCGGCCACAUUGGGACUGAGAUACGGCGCAGACUGCUACGGGAGGCAGCAGGGGGGAAUAUUGCACAAUGGGCGGAAGCCUGAUGCAGCAACGCCGCGUGCGGGAUAACGGCCUUCGGGUUGUAAACCGCUUUCGCCUGUGACGAAGCGUGAGUGACGGUAAUGGGUAAAGAAGCACCGGCUAACUACGUG